UACGAGUGCCUCAAGCGUUAUCCGGAAUCACUGGGCGUAAAGGGUGCGUAGGCGGGUCUUUAAGUCAGGGGUGAAAUCCUGGAGCUCAACUCCAGAACUGCCUUUGAUACUGAAGAUCUUGAGUUCGGGAGAGGUGAGUGGAACUGCGAGUGUAGAGGUGAAAUUCGUAGAUAUUCGCAAGAACACCAGUGGCGAAGGCGGCUCACUGGCCCGAUACUGACGCUGAUGCACGAAAGCGUGGGGAGCAAACAGG
rnacentral:rRNA from 1 species